rnacentral:rRNA from 1 species
GACGAACGCUGGCGGCGUGCUUAACACAUGCAAGUCGAACGGAAAGGCCCUGCUUGCAGGGUACUCGAGUGGCGAACGGGUGAGUAACACGUGGGUGAUCUGCCCUGCACUUCGGGAUAAGCUUGGGAAACUGGGUCUAAUACCGGAUAGGAACCAUCUUUAGUGUGGUGGUUGGAAAGUUUUUUCGGUGUAGGAUGAGCUCGCGGCCUAUCAGCUUGUUGGUGGGGUAAUGGCCUACCAAGGCGGCGACGGGUAGCCGGCCUGAGGGGGUGUACGGCCACAGUGGGAGGGAGAAAGGGCCCAGACCCCAAGGGGGGGAGGAGGGGGGGAAGAGGGAAAAAGGGGGGAAGGCAGGAGGAGGCGCGGCGGGGGGGGGGAUGAAGGCCUUGGGGUUUAAACCUCCUUCCGCGGGGGAAAAAGUUUUUUGGGAGGGAACAAAGAAAAGAAGCCCCGGAAAACAACGGG